rnacentral:misc_RNA from 1 species
GAUGAAGAACGCAGCAAAAUGCGAUAUGUAAUGUGAAUUGCAGAAUUCAGUGAAUCAUCGAAUCUUUGAACGCACAUUGCGCCCGCCAGUAUUCUGGCGGGCAUGCCUGUUCGAGCGUCAUUUCAACCCUCAAGCCCUCGGGUUUGGUGUUGGGGAUCGGCGAGCCUUUCUGGCAAGCCGGCCCCGAAAUCUAGUGGCGGUCUCGCUGCAGCCUCCAUUGCGUAGUAGUAAAACCCUCGCAACUGGAACGCGGCGCGGCCAAGCCGUUAAGCCCCCAACUUCUGAAUGUUGACCUCGGAUCAGGUAGGAAUACCCGCUGAACUUAAGCAUAUCAAUAAGCGGAGGA